rnacentral:rRNA from 1 species
UAAGCGACUAAGCGUACACGGUGGAUGCCCUGGCAGUCAGAGGCGAUGAAGGACGUGCUAAUCUGCGAUAAGCGUCGGUAAGGUGAUAUGAACCGUUAUAACCGGCGAUUUCCGAAUGGGGAAACCCAGUGUGUUUCGACACACUAUCAUUAACUGAAUCCAUAGGUUAAUGAGGCGAACCGGGGGAACUGAAACAUCUAAGUACCCCGAGGAAAAGAAAUCAACCGAGAUUCCCCCAGUAGCGGCGAGCGAACGGGGAGCAGCCCAGAGCCUGAAUCAGUGUGUGUGUUAGUGGAAGCGUCUGGAAAGGCGCGCGAUACAGGGUGACAGCCCCGUACACAAAAAUGCACAUGCUGUGAGCUCGAUGAGUAGGGCGGGACACGUGGUAUCCUGUCUGAAUAUGGGGGGACCAUCCUCCAAGGCUAAAUACUCCUGACUGACCGAUAGUGAACCAGUACCGUGAGGGAAAGGCGAAAAGAACCCCGGCGAGGGGAGUGAAAAAGAACCUGAAACCGUGUACGUACAAGCAGUGGGAGCCUCUUUUAUGGGGUGACUGCGUACCUUUUGUAUAAUGGGUCAGCGACUUAUAUUCUGUAGCAAGGUUAACCGAAUAGGGGAGCCGAAGGGGAACCGAGUCUUAACUGGGCGUUAAGUUGCAGGGUAUAGACCCGAAAACCCGGUGAUCUAGCCAUGGGCAGGUUGAAGGUUGGGUAACACUAACUGGAGGACCGAACCGACUAAUGUUGAAAAAUUAGCGGAUGACUUGUGGCUGGGGGUGAAAGGCCAAUCAAACCGGGAGAUAGCUGGUUCUCCCCGAAAGCUAUUUAGGUAGCGCCUCGUGAAUUCAUCUCCGGGGGUAGAGCACUGUUUCGGCAAGGGGGUCAUCCCGACUUACCAACCCGAUGCAAACUGCGAAUACCGGAGAAUGUUAUCACGGGAGACACACGGCGGGUGCUAACGUCCGUCGUGAAGAGGGAAACAACCCAGACCGCCAGCUAAGGUCCCAAAGUCAUGGUUAAGUGGGAAACGAUGUGGGAAGGCCCAGACAGCCAGGAUGUUGGCUUAGAAGCAGCCAUCAUUUAAAGAAAGCGUAAUAGCUCACUGGUCGAGUCGGCCUGCGCGGAAGAUGUAACGGGGCUAAACCAUGCACCGAAGCUGCGGCAGCGACGCUUAUGCGUUGUUGGGUAGGGGAGCGUUCUGUAAGCCUGUGAAGGUGUGCUGUGAGGCAUGCUGGAGGUAUCAGAAGUGCGAAUGCUGACAUAAGUAACGAUAAAGCGGGUGAAAAGCCCGCUCGCCGGAAGACCAAGGGUUCCUGUCCAACGUUAAUCGGGGCAGGGUGAGUCGACCCCUAAGGCGAGGCCGAAAGGCGUAGUCGAUGGGAAACAGGUUAAUAUUCCUGUACUUGGUGUUACUGCGAAGGGGGGACGGAGAAGGCUAUGUUGGCCGGGCGACGGUUGUCCCGGUUUAAGCGUGUAGGCUGGUUUUCCAGGCAAAUCCGGAAAAUCAAGGCUGAGGCGUGAUGACGAGGCACUACGGUGCUGAAGCAACAAAUGCCCUGCUUCCAGGAAAAGCCUCUAAGCAUCAGGUAACAUCAAAUCGUACCCCAAACCGACACAGGUGGUCAGGUAGAGAAUACCAAGGCGCUUGAGAGAACUCGGGUGAAGGAACUAGGCAAAAUGGUGCCGUAACUUCGGGAGAAGGCACGCUGAUAUGUAGGUGAAGCGACUUGCUCGUGGAGCUGAAAUCAGUCGAAGAUACCAGCUGGCUGCAACUGUUUAUUAAAAACACAGCACUGUGCAAACACGAAAGUGGACGUAUACGGUGUGACGCCUGCCCGGUGCCGGAAGGUUAAUUGAUGGGGUCAGCGCAAGCGAAGCUCUUGAUCGAAGCCCCGGUAAACGGCGGCCGUAACUAUAACGGUCCUAAGGUAGCGAAAUUCCUUGUCGGGUAAGUUCCGACCUGCACGAAUGGCGUAAUGAUGGCCAGGCUGUCUCCACCCGAGACUCAGUGAAAUUGAACUCGCUGUGAGGAUGCAGUGUACCCGCGGCAAGACGGAAAGACCCCGUGAACCUUUACUAUAGCUUGACACUGAACAUUGAGCCUUGAUGUGUAGGAUAGGUGGGAGGCUUAGAAGUGUGGACGCCAGUCUGCAUGGAGCCGACCUUGAAAUACCACCCUUUAAUGUUUGAUGUUCUAACGUUGACCCGUAAUCCGGGUUGCGGACAGUGUCUGGUGGGUAGUUUGACUGGGGCGGUCUCCUCCUAAAGAGUAACGGAGGAGCACGAAGGUUGGCUAAUCCUGGUCGGACAUCAGGAGGUUAGUGCAAUGGCAUAAGCCAGCUUGACUGCGAGCGUGACGGCGCGAGCAGGUGCGAAAGCAGGUCAUAGUGAUCCGGUGGUUCUGAAUGGAAGGGCCAUCGCUCAACGGAUAAAAGGUACUCCGGGGAUAACAGGCUGAUACCGCCCAAGAGUUCAUAUCGACGGCGGUGUUUGGCACCUCGAUGUCGGCUCAUCACAUCCUGGGGCUGAAGUAGGUCCCAAGGGUAUGGCUGUUCGCCAUUUAAAGUGGUACGCGAGCUGGGUUUAGAACGUCGUGAGACAGUUCGGUCCCUAUCUGCCGUGGGCGCUGGAGAACUGAGGGGGGCUGCUCCUAGUACGAGAGGACCGGAGUGGACGCAUCACUGGUGUUCGGGUUGUCAUGCCAAUGGCACUGCCCGGUAGCUAAAUGCGGAAGAGAUAAGUGCUGAAAGCAUCUAAGCACGAAACUUGCCCCGAGAUGAGUUCUCCCUGACUCCUUGAGAGUCCUGAAGGAACGUUGAAGACGACGACGUUGAUAGGCCGGGUGUGUAAGCGCAGCGAUGCGUUGAGCUAACCGGUACUAAUGAACCGUGAGGCUUAACCU